rnacentral:rRNA from 1 species
UUCGGCCUUAGUGGCGCACGGGUGAGUAACGCGUGGGAACCGGCCCUUGAGUGGGGGAUAACCUCGGGAAACUGAGGCUAAUACCGCAUAUGCCCUGAGGGGCAAAGACGCAAGUCGCUUGAGGAAGGGCCCGCGCCCGAUUAGGUAGUUGGUGUGGUAAAGGCGCACCAAGCCGACGAUCGGUAGCUGGUCUGAGAGGAUAAUCAGCCACACUGGGACUGAGACACGGCCCAGACUCCUACGGGAGGCAGCAGUGGGGAAUAUUGGACAAUGGGCGCAAGCCUGAUCCAGCCAUGCCGCGUGAGUGAAGAAGGCCUUCGGGUUGUAAAGCUCUUUCAGCGGGGACGAUGAUGACGGUACCCGCAGAAGAAGCCCCGGCUAACUUCGUGCCAGCAGCCGCGGUAAUACGAAGGGGGCUAGCGUUGU